AAGGCGAGUUUAUAGUUCUGACAGUAGACUGAAGGAGGAUUGUGAUUUGUGAGGCAAGGCAGCAAGCUCAGUCGACCGCCGGCUUUCGACGCGACUGCCGCCUGCUUCACAUAGAAACGCAUCAUCGAAAGGCAAGAUGAAGGGUCUUCUUGCGUUGGCCCUCGUGAUCGCGGUCAUUUGCACCGCCGACGCUAGUCGUAUGCGGCGUAGGCACCGCAGGAUCCGCACCACGACUACUGAACGUCCAACGUCGGAGCAGCUCGGCCGCGGGGACAUCUCGGAGGCUGAACACAUCGAGCACGGAAUGUCUGAGAGCUUGGACGAGAAGCGAUACCAUGAGGCAGAAAUAGCCAGAGUUAACGACCUUCUCAACGAGGUCUCUAAUGAAGAGAAUGAAGACGAAGAAAUCAACAUGGAAGACCCUUGCCUGAAAGUCCACUGCAGCGCAGGACGUGUCUGCGAAAUCAACGAACACGGAGACGCCAUGUGUAACUGCAUCAAGGACUGUCCCUACGAGACAGACUCCAGACGCAUGGUGUGCACAAACUUCAACGAAACCUGGCAAUCGGAUUGCGAAGUAUACCGCCAGCGAUGCUUAUGCCUCGACAACUCUGAUCAGUGCCGUGGUCCGCAAUACCACCACGUUCAAAUCGAGUAUUACGGAACGUGCCGAGAAAUGCCUGACUGCACUGAAAGCGAGAUGUCUGACUUCCCCCGUCGCAUGCGGGACUGGCUUUUUAACAUCAUGCGCGACAUGGCUGAACGUAGAGAGCUGACCCCUCAUUACCUGAAGAUGGAGCGGGAGGCGGAAUCAAACCUCACGCGUCGUUGGGCCAAUGCCGCUAUAUGGAAAUGGUGCGAUCUGGACGCUCAGACCAAUGAUAGAUUCGUGUCCCGUCACGAGCUGUUCCCCAUUAGAGCUCCGCUGAUGGCCCUAGAGCACUGCAUCGCGCCAUUCCUGGACCGCUGCGACGCUGACGACGACCACCGCGUCACUCUCGCCGAGUGGGGCAAGUGCCUCGAACUCGACGAGGUAAACUAUUUUGUUAUUUAUUAAUAACUCCGGCAGACUUCAUAGUGCCUCAAUCGAUAAAUAAAAGACCUAAACUUUUGUAUAAAAUAAAUUUAAAACAAACAAAAGGAAUCCGUCCGACGGGGGACACGUCAAACUUCGAUCAACAAUAGUUACUAUUGUUGAUCGAAGACGUCAAAGGAAAAAUAAAAUUGUUAAUUUUAUUUAAAUCCGAGCAUUUUCCUAUUUAUCUAACUUUUAAACCUUCUCUUUUUUUUUUUUUUUAUUGCCCUUGUAGGCAGACUAGCAUACGGCCCACCUGAUGGUGAGUGGUUACCGUCGCCCAUGGACUUCAGCAAUGCCAGGGGCAGAGCCAAGCCGCUGCCUACCGUAAAACUCUGGACGUCUCUGGACUUCCACAAAUAAUUCAAGACCAAAAUUAGCCAAAUCGGUCCAGCCGUUCUCGAGUUUUAGCAAGACUAACGAACAGCAAUUCAUUUUUAUAUAGAUAGAUAGAUAGAAUUAACAGGUAUCUAAAGUGACUAUCUGAGAUUUGAACAAAAAAGAAUCGUAAUAUGAUGAAAGAAAUAGAGAGAGAUAAACCUAGGAAGUUCUUCGCUGAAUCUACGGAGAAGAUCCGGCGCGAAAAUCUAUGCUCAACUAAGCUUCAGCAUAAUUCGGUAUUGUGCGUCACUGAGUCGCAUUAUGCUCUGUAAUUAACCAUUACUCAGUGACGCACAAUGCCGAAUUAUGCUGAAGCUUAGUUGAGCAUUAUGCCCCAUAAUGCGCUCUUGUGUUGUAAUUGGAAAACGGCCAUUAUGUCGAUCUUAGAAUAGAGUACAUAUCUUCGAUAAUUAUUAAAAAAAUGUGCAACUCUCACGCACGGCAUGAGUGUAACCUUCACAAGUAUUCUAUCUCGUUCUCUCGUGGACUAAAUCUUUUUGAUACCAUUUUCGUCUCCGAUUAAUAUUAUAUUACUACUUACUUAAUAUUAUAUUCAAAACAUGGACGCCACAGAAAUUUUGAUGUUAUAAUUGGUUAAUAAAUAUUUACAAUUGCCUUUUGAAGUUAUACUUAUUUAGGCGCGUUAUGAAAAUUGAUGAGAGUGAAAUUCUACGAUGCGCGCGCACCGUGACAAAAAAUUAACAGAAAUGAAGUUGCCCACUAAAUCGCUCAUUACAAUACGACCGACGUAACUUGGCGGGUCUGAAUAUAGCCGCGGGUGAACUUUCCGAACCGUACAGAGAAUUACCGAAUUUAUACGAUGUCAAAAAAAUGGAUGUCCAAUAUGCGUGUUUGAGGAUGUUGUUUAAUCGAUUUUUAUUCAAAUUUAUUAAAAUUUAAAUAAAAAAAAAGAAAUAAACUUAAUAAAAAUAAAGUAUAACUUCUUACGCGCGUACAUAAGUACACGCACCAGUUUUUUUUUUUUUUAAAUCCUCGUAAAAAUUAUGAUUUUUUUUUUUUUUUUUUUUUAUUGCUUAUAUGGGUGGACGAGCUCACAGCCCACCUGGUGUUAAGUGGUUACUGGAGCCCAUAGACAUCCACAACGUAAAUGCGCCACCCACCUUGAGAUACAAGUUCUAAGGUCUCAUGUACAGUUACAACGGCUGCCCCACCCUUCACACCGAAACGCAUCACUGCUUCACGGCAGAAAUAGGCAGGGUAGUGGUACCCACCCGCGCGGACUCACAAGAGGUCCUACCACCAGUAAUUACGCAAAUUAUAAUUUUGCGGGUUUCAUUUUUAUUACACGAUGUUAUUCCUUCACCGUGGAAGUCAAUCGUGAACAUUUGUUGAGUACGUAUUUCAUUAGAAAAAUUGGUACCCGCCUGCGGGAUUCGAACAUCGGUGCAUCGCUUCAACACGAAUGCACCGGACGUCUUAUCCGUUAGGCCACGACGACUUCAUCUUGACCUUAUCUAUUAACAGAAUUUUGGAAUUAUUUACAAAAAUUAAGCAGAUUUUAGCAGAAUUUAUACAGGUAACUGGCAUAAUGUUCGAUUUAAAUCUGGUCACACUGUUAAUAUAGCUAUUUCGUUCGAUGAUGUUUCAAAUCACAAUGGUAGGUGAAUGAAGUUAGCCCCUCAAAAAAAUUUUUUUUUCCUAUUUUAUACUUAUUUUCUAUUAAUUCGUUUGUUCAUCAUUUGUUCAUGAUUGUUCACUGUUCAUAAUUGUUUGUUCUGCAGUUAUUUAUUUAAAAAAUAUAUUUCAAAAUAUACCUACAAGUUAGCCCCUCUAAUGCAAUUUUUAAUAUUUUUUCAUCCUUAAUGACUCGUAAAUAUUCAUUUUCGAUUGUUCUUAUAUAAAACACGUUUGUUCUCUUUCGAAAUUACUCGUUUUUUGUUUAAUUUACUAUUUUCAUUAGUUGAAUAAAUGUAUGCAAAAUAUGUGUACUGCGCAUGCGUCAACUAUAAUGCCUAAACUUUCUACGCGGUUUUAAUCGUGAAAAAAAAAACAAAUAUUAAUCCUGAAGGAGCAAUUAAUUGGUAUACAGUUUAAUUAAAAAAAUUAAAAAAUAAAUAAAUGAAAUAAUGUGCAUUGGCGUUAAGUUAGACCAAAUACAUUUUUUCCAUCAUCCUACUUAUCGUUAUGAAGGUAUAAAAAAGAUAGGGAGUUCACAUAGCUGGAAAACUACAUGGAGAAUUAUAUGCAAUACAAGAUAAUGAGCUCCAUUAAAUGAAUUCGAAUGAAACCAAACUGUUUACCAUCCAAAUUCGAUUGUCGGGCAGAUAGAAAACGAAAAUUCACUCAUAGUGAACCUCGGCCUGCAUUUGUGAAACGGCAAAGACUCACUAUUAUCAAGGAAAUUGAAGAGACAACUAAAAAUGAGAUGUGUCGUAUUAUUAUACCUUUGCCAUCUUGUAGUCAAGAUGUCCAGCCACUUGAAAAUAGGUGUAGUAAUGACAAAGCUAUCCAAGUAGCUCCAGCACAGGAACACAAAGGCAAGGCAAGUGUGUAUUGCCACAUCACCCCUUAAUAUAUCUGAAGCAAGUAUAAGUAAACAAUCAGAACCAGCAAAAAAAAAAACUGUUGUUCCUGAGGACAAAUUUGACAGUGAUGAGUCAAAUGCACCAGCAACAGAAGGAUCAACUGUUGACUAUGGGUUAUAGAAGAAGAAGAUUAAUUCAUAUUUAUUUAAAUUAAUAUUAAUGAAUAUUAAUUUAAAUUAUCGUGCAAAAUUCGUGGUCAAAACAUAUGUGUAUUUUAUAAAUAAAUAUUCAUUCUCAGUA